UUUAGAAAAUACAACAUUUUACAACACUUUGUAAAAUAUUCAAAAUAAAAACAUUAAAAAUUCUUCUCGUGACAUUCUAAAUAGAAAUGUUUGCAUUCUUUCUACUAGAAACAUUAUUGGAAUUCACAUUGGCCUGGGAAAUAUUUCAUGAAUUGUCAUAUGAAGAAAAUAAUUGUGAAUCUUCAAGCCAGUGCCCGGAAAAAUCUUCAAGUACGAAAUGCAAUUGAAAUUCGAAUUGUCUUUUAAAUUUUGAUCUGUAUUGGAGAUUUUGAUAAUGCUACUGUCAAACGAAACUUUAAAUAAAUUUAAAUAUGUAUAUUGUGUACUAAAUUGAA